rnacentral:rRNA from 1 species
GCUUCCUUCGGGAAGUGGAUUAGCGGCGGACGGGUGAGUAACACGUGGGUAACCUGCCUCAAAGUGGGGGAUAGCCUUCCGAAAGGAAGAUUAAUACCGCAUAACAUAAGAGAAUCGCAUGAUUUUUUUAUCAAAGAUUUAUUGCUUUGAGAUGGACCCGCGGCGCAUUAGCUAGUUGGUAAGGUAACGGCUUACCAAGGCAACGAUGCGUAGCCGACCUGAGAGGGUGAUCGGCCACAUUGGAACUGAGACACGGUCCAGACUCCUACGGGAGGCAGCAGUGGGGAAUAUUGCGCAAUGGGGGAAACCCUGACGCAGCAACGCCGCGUGGGUGAUGAAGGUCUUCGGAUUGUAAAGCCCUGUUUUCUGGGACGAUAAUGACGGUACCAGAGGAGGAAGCCACGGCUAACUACGUGCCAGCAGCCGCGGUAAUACGUAGGUGGCGAGCGUUGUCCGGAUUUACUGGGCGUAAAGGGUGCGUAGGCGGAUGUUUAAGUGGGAUGUGAAAUCCCCGGGCUUAACCUGGGGGCUGCAUUCCAAACUGGAUAUCUAGAGUGCAGGAGAGGAAAGCGGAAUUCCUAGUGUAGCGGUGAAAUGCGUAGAGAUUAGGAAGAACACCAGUGGCGAAGGCGGCUUUCUGGACUGUAACUGACGCUGAGGCACGAAAGCGUGGGUAGCAAACAGGAUUAGAUACCCUGGUAGUCCACGCCGUAAACGAUG